rnacentral:other from 2 species
UGACACCUGCGGUGUUCGGAAACCGGUAAAUGCGUAAUCCACAUUAUGAAAUCGGGAGCGCUUGUCGGCGCGGCUAUGCAAGGUCUGUUGAUACGGAAAGUCUGAUGCCGUACCGCCGCGCACCCACCUGCGAGAAGCGGGUUCACCUUCAUCGGUUUGCGGCACAGGCGGAUGUCUU